rnacentral:rRNA from 1 species
AUGGGUAAUGCAAAAAGCAAAGCCGGUGAACAUCAACAACAAGAGGACGUAGCUACAGGUCAGGCGAGUGGUAAAAAUGUUGAAGAAUACAAUGCAACCUUUGAUACUGAAAAAGAUGAAGCUAUUUGCGCAACAGAACCCGCCCUUACGAGCGAGACAAAUCUGAAAGAAUAUAAUCCAAGCAUCUUAACCGUAGCUGCAAAUCUUGACCCAAUUUACACGACGGAAAUAGAUGGAUCAGAAUGGGUAAGGCCUGGAUACCAUGCUGAUGGUCAAACAUUUGCGGCUACGGCUAAUCUAUCACUAGAUCAUGCUAUUAAUAAGAUGCAGCUGCGAGAUGAUACUGAAGGUAUCCAUAGGCAUGAUAUCCACCUUCCCAACCGGCGUAUUCGGCAGUAG